GGGAUGCCUGAUGCCUUGUACAAGAGAGUGUUAUAGCUUAACUAUAACUCAGUUAAAAAGCAAUUUUCCAUGCAUUUCUGGCCGCAGAUAAAUUUGUUGGACCUGCUUUACUCUUCAGAGAACCCUGCUUCUCGAUAAUGACAGAGGGCUGUUCUUUCCUACUAACACAGCUUCUUGCUAUGCAUUAGUCUGGAAAGCCAGGCUGUGUUCUGCUGGGAAUAAAACCACGAAGCAGGUCACCCACCACACUUGGCAGCCCUCAGUAAACAGCCAGCCCUGCAGAUAAGGGGAAUUUGUUUGAGAUGAGAAUACCAGGUGGAGCGUGGCUGUAAAAGAAAUCGAGUGACCUUUAGGGAAUCGAUCUGGUGCCUGCUGGCAUGGCUGAGAACUUUGGAAAUGUUUUCUUUCAGCUGUGCAUUUGCUUCGUUUCCCCUGCUAAUCUGCCAAGGCCACGCUGGCAUGUUUCUCCUUCAGACCUUCCUCAGUCUCUUCAGAUCUGCUGCGUGGGGGCUAGCAGAGGAAUGCUUUACGAGAUUGAGAAACAAAGGCGAUCCACUUGAGGAAUUUGCAAAGGGAGACACAGCCAAGCAGGAACACAAGCAGAAGAGCUGAAAAACAACCCCAGACAAGCCAGCGUAUGACCUCCGGUGCAUUUCAGAAGAAAAGAGCCUUUCUUUGGUUUGGCUACAGCUGGAGUUGGGUGGUGCCUCGUUUAGAGUAAGUUAUACAGGACUGGGUUACACGUCUCUCUGCUUGCAGCCUCUCCUGCAAGGGCAUUCUCUCGGGCAGGCAGACUGAGCAUCAGAAAUGCAAAUCCCCUCAAGGUGGGGAUGCUUUUUCCAGACUGGUGCAGCUCUCGUUUUGUUAGGAAGCUGAGCUGAGGCCUUCUUUCUCCUUGCUUUUCCUACCCUUGACGGGGGAAGCUGCCUGCCGUCUCUGUCAGGGCUUUGUCGUAAGGAGCUGGCUGACACGAGAUGAAUAACUGCACGUGCUGCACCAGGUGCUCUUCAUGUCCCCAUUUCAGAGGGACUACUGGGAUGGGAAGCCCAGCAGUCACCGAUCAGAAGGUCAGUCAGUGGCUGUGCAUCUGCAGUGUCUGGCAGCCGAGCGGUGUUUUCAUGCCGUGUGAUCCGUGCUGCGUUUGGAUAGAGGGAACCUGAGAGCCCACGGUGGCUCGGCUUGGCGCAGGGUGCAGGCUGGCUGCCACUCUCUCAUCCCGAGGCAGGGAUUUCUCAAGCUGACAAAGUGCAGCUGCCGUUUUUAUGGACUUAACCCUCUGAGCACACAGGGGAGCGAGUGCUCACACAGCAUUUUGGACGCCCAGCUGGGUAACACAGCACGAGGGUCUUGCCCCAGCCCCUUCAAUGUGAGACCACUCCCUCCACCUCACAGGAGGAUGGCCCGUGCAAGCUCCUGGUCUCCUCACAGCAUUAAUUAAGACAAUUAAGCAUUGUCUUAGCCACAGUAAUCCGACAGCAUCACUGUGGCUAAGAUGAGGCCCUCAGAGACCUCUUUCCUCGCUAACAUCUCGCUCUGUCUUCGGAGGGCCGCUUCUCUGCUUCCCUCUCUAGUUUCCUCUAAACAAAUUCCACUCAGAAGACAACUUGCUUGAACAAAAGCUGUGUUUCCUUUCAGUAAUACCAGAACUAAAAAAGGGAAAAAACGAUUAAAAUGCUCACUCAUCCUGGUAUCAACCCCCACCAAGCGCUUCCCUGCUGUCUUUGUGGCUCCUGUUUACCAGUGCUGGGCUGCUACAGCAGGAGGUUUAGGAGCACCGAAGGAUUUGCGUGCAGAGCCAUUCGUUGUCUAAGAAAUCUUGUUGACUUAAAAGUUAGUACAUGCCUGCUGAAUUGCCUGCACGGCCAUAAAGCAUUCAAGUGAGAAUUGUUCUGGUCUCUGGAGCGAAGUUCUCCUGCAGAAGCUGCCUCGGAGGAGCGGAGGGUUCAACAGAUUUAUUUAUUCUUAGCUUGCCUCCUGGUGGGAGCUAACUGCCUGGAGAUGGCUUCAUGGAGAAAGCAGUGCUGGGCUGUGGCCGCCCUCAGCCCAGGAGGGACACCUGUUUCGACCCAUUUCAACCUCCUCCAACUCCUACCUCAGCGACCGAGUGUGCUGUUGAGCGAGGGAGUGGGGCUGGAGAGGGCUGUUGUAUUUCUUCUGGUACAAAAAGGGUUGUCUCCAUAGCGCUGGAGUGUCACUGCACAAACACCGAGGAAUAAAACUCCUGCUGGUAGUGCUCCUGCUUUGCUCUGCCAGGGACCAUAAAGAUGGCAAGCGCAGCAGAUCAUGAGCUCCCUGCUGCCAGUCACUGGGUGCUAGGAAGGAAACCGGGGCCCAAGGGGAUUGCUGUGAACAUUGUGCUCACCAGCAAGGGGGUGUCGGGGUGUUGGUUGGUGCAUGGCAGCUGUCUUCAUCCUGCUUCGGCCCUGUGGGCUCUGCUUUGCUCAGGUUGACCCUGAUGGGUAUCUUUGGAGGGUGAGCUGUCUUCAGCAGGGCAGCAGGGUUUUCUAGCAGUUGUAUGGGGAAUGGGGCUCUGAUCUGUGCUGCAGGAUGCCUUGGGAAAUGGUAAGGACCUUGCUGUAUGGUCUGUCUUGGAGCAGACUAUGGGGCAGUACUUCCCAGCUCUGAAACAUUUUUGCUCUGUGGCCACUUGCCUUGUCCUUUCGCAUCCACAUGUCCUGAAUCUGGUGGGAGGCUGGAACAAACAGGUGCUUUGACAAGACUGCAAUAUCGCCCAGGGUCCCCUUGAUUUGAGAGGACCAUGUAUUUUUCCCAGGAGAGCAGUGCAGGCCAGGGCCAGGGCACAGAGAUGUGGUGGCACCUCCAUCGUUGGGGUCAUCAGCAUCCACAUGGCUGAGGCUUUCGGCAACCUGAACUAUCUUUGAGCAGGACACAGCCCGAGAUCUCUCCACAUCAGAAUUCAUUAAACAUAAAGACAUCACCGUGGCCUCAAAAAGACCCCCAAACCAGAAAUAGCUGGGAGCUAUGAAAACGUUAUAGAAGAUACCCUGAAUAUUUCACCAUCUUCUUAUGCUUUUUUGAGCAUAUUCCUCAUGGGCCUUUUCUCCUCUGUACUUUUCUUUAUAGGUAAAGACUACACAGCAGCAGCAGAGCAAGGAGGAGACGUGUGACUAAUGUGUCGGAGGAGGGCUUGUCUGUAUCCCUGUUCCAGGAGCCCAAGCAUUUCACUGCUCCUUGGUGAGUGCUCGGACUUAACUGUACCAGAGGAACGUGCCAGCUGCAAUUCUUUCCCAACAAAGGCGCUCUAUUCCUCUUUUUAAAUGUCGUGUAAAUGUCAAUAACAAGUCUAUAAACACAGCUAACUGUCUGGCACGCUACCCCUCCAGGGAGGAGGACAGAGACGGGCUGGGCAGCUUCCCAGUGAGGCAGGACCUUGCUGGCUGGAGCACUCAGUCUGAAGCUCUAUCAAAAAGCAACGUGGGCAUAAAUAGGUUUUACUGCAUUAGAGCCAGCCAAAUGUCCCAGUCGAAGCACGUCUGGGGAAACAAGGGGGUAGUUUGGGUGAUGUACAGCCCAGCCCUGAGCUGCUGUCAUGCUGGGAAAGCUCUGUGCUGCUCCCAGGGUGCAGGGUGCUCCUGAGAGCUGGGGCCUUAACGUGACCUCCCUCACUGCUCACAAUUGCCCUUCCCGAGUCCAGACCACACUGGGGCUUGGGGAAGCCACUGUAAAACCAACAUUAUCCCUUGUACUUGGUGUGGGAUGCUUGAUCUGGAAAGAGCGUGACUGUAAGUGAGGGGGGACAGAGGGGAGCAUCACCAAUGCCUGGUGCGCAGUCAGCAGCAGAGCCUCAGUUCCUGGUUAACUGGGUUCGCAGGCUAAGCUGAAACCUGAACUCAAGGACCUUCUUCAGCACACAAAGCCUCAAAAGGAGCUUUUUCAGCCUGUCACCAGCCCUGAGCAGCAAAUGCCGUCAUGCCCUUUGCUCGGACCUACUUUUGACAAUUUUCUGAAACAGCUUUGACCACAUUUUGCCAGGAUGUGGUGCAGGGAUCCCACGUCUUGCCGCUGUCACUACCUCUAGACGCUGCAAUCUGACCUGCUGUAAAGGGGGCUGCCCUGGGGGCAUUGGUUCAGCAGAGCCGUUCCCCUAUAAGACAGCAUCCCUGGGCCAGGGGGAGAGCGUGCUUGGCAAAGGGAGCUGGAUACGGACCUCUCUUUUAUAGGCUGGCCCCCGGGGAGCAGAUUCAGGCAACCUGGCCUUCCCAAGGCCACUAUCAGCCAGGAGCAACAUGACUCGAUUAUCUCUGUUCAGAGG
rnacentral:lncRNA from 1 species